UACGUAGGGUGCAAGCGUUGUCCGGAAUUAUUGGGCGUAAAGAGCUCGUAGGCGGUCUGUCGCGUCGGCUGUGAAAACCUGGGGCUUAACUCCGGGCCUGCAGCCGAUACGGGCAGACUAGAGUUCGGCAGGGGAGACUGGAAUUCCUGGUGUAGCGGUGAAAUGCGUAGAUAUCAGGAGGAACACCGAUGGCGAAGGCAGGUCUCUGGGCUGACACUGACGCUCAUGCACGAAAGCGUGGGGAGCAAACAGG
rnacentral:rRNA from 1 species